GGUGGAGUGGCCGAGUGGUUAAGGCGCUGUGUUUAGGAAAUCUAUCUGGAUAUCCAAGACCGCAGUGGGAAACCGCGCGAGUUCGAAUCUCGUCUCCAUCA
rnacentral:tRNA from 1 species